CACGUAGGGCGCAAGCGUUGUCCGGAAUUAUUGGGCGUAAAGAGCUCGUAGGCGGUUUGUCGCGUCUGUCGUGAAAGCUUGGGGCUUAACCCCAAGUCUGCGGUGGAUACGGGCAGACUAGAGGCAGGUAGGGGAGAACGGAAUUCCCGGUGUAGCGGUGGAAAUGACGCAGAGUAUCGGGAGGAACACCGGUGGCGAAGGCGGUUCUCUGGGCCUGUACUGACGCUGAGGAGCGAAAGCGUGGGGAGCGAACAGG
rnacentral:rRNA from 1 species